rnacentral:lncRNA from 1 species
GGCCGCUUUGGCCUCUCCGCCUCUCACGCUGGGAAGCGCUGCCUCCCACCGCCCUCAACUCGGGCCUCCGAGAGGAAUAAACGCCCCCCCAAGCCCCCCUCCUCUGGUCCACCCUCCCCUGACCCAGCCUGGGGUCUUCCCCUACAGCAGAUGAAUUGCUGUCUUCCACCCCCGCCUGGCCACUAGGGCUCUAUUUUUAACCCACCUCAAACUCUCUGAGUCAGAAUCACAGGGCUCCCAGGUAGCAGCUCCCCCCAGCCGCCUGAGGCUGCCUCCCAACCAGUGCGAUUCAGACAAGGGCAUCCAGCUAGCGCUGGGCUUAUGGUGGGUUAUCCGGAUUCUGGAGUAUUUUGGGGAACUCACCUUCCUGUGAGGAUGCGCUAUUACCUGAAGAACAUAAUUUGGUUUGUUUCUGUUUUUUUGAAGACGCAGACAAAAUGACCUUUUACCCCUGCCUCUUCCCUGGUCCCUCUCAGUCUUGGGCUGAGGUCCUCGUCCCUCAGCAUACAAUGAGGGCUAGUUGCAGCCAUUCCCCAAGGAGAAGUUCCAUGACAGUCCUGGCUUGACCAUAUGGGGACAAGAAAACUCCCCCACACAACGCAGAGGAGGGACUGAUGAUGGGAGUGUGAGGCCUACCCAAGACGAGGAAGAAGGUGGUUCUCCCCCUUCCCCAAGUCUCCUUUGAUCAUAAAACUGUAGCCUACCAAGUUCUUGGCAUGGUACCCUCUCACCCACCCACUUGUAAGCCUCACAAGCAUCC